GGGCCUAUAGCUCAGUCGGUUAGAGCGCUUCGCUGAUAACGAAGAGGUCGCUGGUUCAAGUCCAGCUAGGCCCACCA
rnacentral:tRNA from 1 species